GGCCUGAUACAUUCCAUUCAGAGUUAUGAAUAAAGGGAUAUUCCUUGCGUUUCAUUGGCGGCAGGGGACUGAAAGGGAAUGGCUGUCUCCAUUUGAACAUCUGCUGCCCUGAUGGAGGGGAGAGUGGAGCUGAAGGAGUGAGUAGAAGAGCUUGAGCACAAGUGCAUCCAAGGGGAGACAGGCCGUGCUGUCCACAUUCUUGCAACUCAGGCUGUCUCCUGGUCUUCGAAAGGUCCUUUUUGCCUCGGCUCUUGGUACGGUCGCCCUAGCCCUGGCUGCACACCAGCUAAAACGGCACAAGCACAAGAAGAAGCAGAUUACAGCAGGCAAUGGAGGCCUAAAGCUCGGCGGGGUGCCUGGCUCUGUUUUGCCCGUUAGGCGUUCUUCCUCAGCUAAAAAAGUUAAACAUAAAAUGCUUCUAGUCAUCUAUACUUGGGGACGCUGGGAAUCAGAAAGCAGAUUGUUGUCAGAGAUGGACUUGGAGUACUCCUGAGCGAGACGCCUGCUGCCCAUUUGGAGGCUGCAAAUCUCUGCCUGACUCUGCUCCCUACAGUGUGGAUGGUGAGUCGCGGUAUCCGGCAGGAGGACUGGUGUGACGUACUUGAGGCUUUUCAGCUCACAGGGAAAUUCAGGGAGACUUCCGGAAGCUUUCUCUGUUGGUUCCAAGUUCCGGCCUCUGCCUUGUAUUGUGAAAAAGAAGAAAUCAGUAGAAGGAGGGUCAGAUUGGAGGGGGUUCUCUGGCCUCUGCUGCAGCCACCGCAGCACAUUCAUCCUAACAACCUUGGGCAGAAAACCAGAAAAAUACAGUUACCAGAAAAGGUAAAGUCUCUCAUGUGGGGUGGGGGAAACAAUUAGGAGAUGGUAGGAAAC